rnacentral:lncRNA from 1 species
UCCUGCUCCAUUUUCACGGCUGGUUUUCCACAUGCUGCACCUCGAUUGGCUGACAGAGCUGUCAGUCAAACCCUGCCCCUCCCUCCUCCCCUUGCUGGCCAAUUGGAGGGCAGCACUGGGGGCGAUGCCAUGGCAACAUGGCAGCCCUGUGUGACCCCAUGGGCGGCUCCUCCCCCUCCCCCGCGGUGAGGCGCCAUGUUGUGGGCGGCAGUGCAGGGCAGCGCGAUGCGUUGCAGGGCCUGGGGGCAGCGUGGCCCCAUGUGGCUGGGCAGUGUGGGGCCCUGGGGCACGGCCAUUGCCCUGCCGGGGCUGGGUUCUGCCUCAGGGGCCCUGUGGGGCUCCUGGCUGCCCUGCGCCUGGGGCUGUGCCAGGUGCGGGGGAGCAGCCCCCCCCCCCCGGGCCUGUGCUGGUCCCGACCCUGGUGCUGUCGUGGGGGCCCUGGGCAUGGCUGGGGUGCCAGAGCCAGUGGGCAGUGUCCUGCUGCCCCCAGUGCAGGGCAGGACAGAUCCCUGUCACCCCUGGGGCUCCGGCAGCCCCGGGGUUCGGCAGCCCUCGCACUGCUCCUGGCAGGGCUGGGCCGCGGCCAGGCAGGGACUGCUCUCUGUGGGGCCAGGCUGGGUCCUGGGGGUCGCUCUGGAGGGCUGAGGAGUUCUGAGGGCACGGGGCAGCCAGGGGCAGAGCAGCUGUGGGCCUGCCAGUGCUGGGCAGCAGAGGUGUGUGGCCGGGAGGGGGCUGGGGCAGAUGGUCCUGCUGGACUCCCCCCAGCGCUGCCCCCCACGGCUCAGAGAAAAAUGCUUGGGGUCAGCAGGGACUUGUGGGGUGGCAAUGGCACCCCCACCUGGUUCCAGGCUGCUCCCCCAAACAGGCUGUCUUUUGGGUGCAGAGUUUUGACCCCCAUUUGCAGAGGAACAGGGGCUGUGGUAUCGUGAGGACAACAUCUCUGAGCCCAAAACAUGCUCUGCCAAGUUGGAAACAUAAAAAGAUCCAGGGGGAAGGAGCAGAGGUUCUCCCAAA